rnacentral:rRNA from 1 species
UACGUAGGUGGCGAGCGUUGUCCGGAUUUAUUGGGCGUAAAGCGCGCGCAGGCGGUUCGCUCCGUCCGGUGUGAAAUCUCCCGGCUCACCUGGGAGGGGGCGCUGGAGACUGGCGAACUGGAGGCAGGGAGAGGUCGGUGGAAUUCCCGGUGUAGUGGUGAAAUGCGUAGAGAUCGGGAGGAACACCAGUGGCGAAAGCGGCCGACUGGACCUGUCCUGACGCUGAGGCGCGAAAGCGUGGGUAGCAAACAGG